GACCAGAUGGUGACACUGCUCCAACUGGCAAUCAACCCUUUGGUGGUGCCAAACCACCCUUGCAGCUGGGAAACCUUCUUGCGUUAAGUUUGAUCCUUCCUGCCAGGAGUUAAACUUUGUUGAUGAUGCACAGACGAGGCAGAGUCAAGGGAAGUAAGCCUCUAAAAUGAUGGUUGGGACUAUCUGGGAAAAGAAGACCCUCAAAAAACAUCCUCAAGCUUUCAGCAGACAGCCCUUGAGACUUCUCUCCUACUGCCAUCACUAGGACUUCUAAGGAUCCAGAUGGGGUGAGGAGGAAUGCUACAGAAGAUGCAGACACCCACCUGAGCCCGAAUGGAGAAAACGUAUCAACCAUCAGACACAGGCCAAGUGUUGGAGUGGGGACAUGAGGCCAGCACCACUAAGAGGCCAAGACAGGGAGCACACACUGAUACUGUGUGUGUGUGUGUGUGAUACUGUGUGUGUUCGAGUGUGUUCAGUGGGAUCUGUAGGUCUAAGGGUUCCUGAAGGGCCUACAUUCCCAGGUUCUCUCUCACUUGCCAGGUUCCUCCUAGAACUUUGCUGUUCGGACCCUUUGGAUUUCUCUGGGCUGCAUUCCUUAAGGUCUGAUUGCUUCUUUCUUGUGGCUGGAAGGAUAUGUUCCCAGUGGAGCCCUCCAAUAGGGUUCUCUGUGCACACACUCCCUUGGGGUGGCCCCCUGGGGAGCCCCAUGGCACACUCCUGGGUCAGCAGGUGAGCCACAGCAGCAGAGUCCCCCACACAGUCCAGGGCCACAGGUCCCCACUCCCCAUUCCUGCACCUGGAGAAACAGGUGGAACAGCCAAGAGAAGCAUCAUUGGCUGCUCCACAGUGUUUGUUUUGGGGCAAGAUGAAAACAUUUGCACCCAUCAUGGUCCCAAUUUCUUUAAAUAAGAAAACACAAGAAAGUCAAAAUGAUAUUUAUUUGGGCUGAGAAGUAAAGAGAAACUAAAUCACUGAUCUGAAAAGCAAAGUGGAAAGAACCAACAACAGCAAACUAGCUCUGCCUUAACCCUUUCCCAGCUGAGCUCUUGUCUCCAUAUCGUGCUAUUAUUCUUGAAUCAAGAAUGUAGCUUCCACAGUGUUUAGUCUGUAUGAAGGUCCCUUUGCCAGAACUCAGUUCCUUUCCAACUCACUUUUUUUUUUUGAGGAUUAACAAAAAGGAAAAGAAAGCAAGCUGUCCAUAUACCUAUGUCUCUCACAUGAAGACAACCAGGGAUUGUCUUUCUCUCCCACAAGAUAGGCCCUGCUGUCCUAGGCUUCCCCAGCCCAGGGACAGAGGGGGACACUGGAAUUGAGGGAUGGGGGAGAAUUGCAGGACCUGAAGCAGCAAGGAGAUCCCCCCAGGACCUUAGAGGGAAGGCCGGGGAGUAGAAGCUGAAGUAGCAAGAGAAGGGGAGGGAGAAAGAGCAGAGAAGGAACGUGCUAGGAUGACAGGGAAUAAAACAGAGAAGCACCUUCCCAACAGCUGGGACACAGGCCAGGAAGGGACCCUAGCCGAGGUCUUAGAGGCCUCACCUUCAUAUUCAAGACCCGGGCAGAGGAGGAGCUGAGCAGGCCCAACAAAGCAUCCGAAUGUACUUAAUGCCAUUGGCCUGUAUAUUUACUAGUAAAGAUGGUCCGAUGGUAAAUCUUAUGUUGUUAUGUUUUACCACAAUAAAAAAGAGAAAGAAAAAAUAAAGGUACAAUCACUUUGGAAAGCAGUCCAGCAGCCUCCUCAAAAGGUUAAACAUAUGACCCAGCAAUUCCACUCCCAGCUUUGUACCAGGAGAAGUGAAAACAUAUGCCCACAUGAAAACUUGUACACAAAUGUUCACAGCAGCGUUAUCCAUAAUAACCAAAACAUGGAAACAAUCCACAUGUCCUUGAACUGAUGAAUGAACAAACAAAAAUGUGGUAACAUUCAUACAAUGGAAUACAAUUCGGCCCUCAAGGAAUGAAGUCUUGUUUCAUGCUACAAAGUGGAUGCGCCUCAAAAACAUUCUGCUGAAAGAAGCCAAUCACAGAAGACCACAUGUUGUAUAGAGCUGUUUACAUGUAAUGGCCAGAAUAUAGGCAAGUCUGUAGUGACAGAAAGCUUGGUGGUUGCCUAGAGCUGGGAAGGGUUGAAGGGAAAUGGGAAGUGACUGCUAACAGGUAUGGGGUUUCUUUCUGCGGUGAUGAAAAUGUUCUGGAAUUAGUAGUGAUGGUUGCACAGCUUUAUGAAUAUUCUAAAACCCACUAAAUUAGACACAUUAAAAGGAUAAAUCUUAUUGUAUGUGAAUGAUAUAUAAUUGUAAAAAA